UACGUAGGCGGACUAGUCAGUCAGAGGUGAAAUCCCGGGGCUCAACCCCGGAACUGCCUUUGAUACUGCUAGUCUUGAGUUAUGGAGAGGUAAGUGGAAUUCCUAGUGUAGAGGUGAAAUUCGUAGAUAUUAGGAGGAACACCAGAGGCGAAGGCGGCUUACUGGACAUAUACUGACGCUGAGGUACGAAAGUGUGGGGAGCGAACG
rnacentral:rRNA from 1 species